rnacentral:rRNA from 1 species
GGUAUCGUAGGUGACCUGCGGAGGGUCAUUACACAAAUAUGAAGGCGGGCUGGAACCUCUCGGGGUUACAGCCUUGCUGAAUUAUUCACCCUUGUCUUUUGCGUACUUCUUGUUUCCUUGGUGGGUUCGCCCACCACUAGGACAAACAUAAACCUUUUGUAAUUGCAAUCAGCGUCAGUAACAAAUUAAUAAUUACAACUUUCAACAACGGAUCUCUUGGUUCUGGCAUCGAUGAAGAACGCAGCGAAAUGCGAUAAGUAGUGUGAAUUGCAGAAUUCAGUGAAUCAUCGAAUCUUUGAACGCACAUUGCGCCCUUUGGUAUUCCAAAGGGCAUGCCUGUUCGAGCGUCAUUUGUACCCUCAAGCUUUGCUUGGUGUUGGGCGUCUUGUCUCUAGCUUUGCUGGAGACUCGCCUUAAAGUAAUUGGCAGCCGGCCUACUGGUUUCGGAGCGCAGCACAAGUCGCACUCUCUAUCAGCAAAGGUCUAGCAUCCAUUAAGCCUUUUUUUCAACUUUUGACCUCGGAUCAGGUAGGGAUACCCGCUGAACUUAA